GACUAACGCUGGCGGCGUGCUUAACACCUCCAAGUCGGACGGGGUUCCCAACGGGUUAGUAACACGUGGGUGAUCUGCCUUGCACUUCGGGAUAAGCUUGUGUAACUUGUUCUCAUACCCGAUCUUGCAAGAUGAGCUCGCGGCCUAUCAGCUUGUUGGUGGGGUAAUUGCCUACCAAGGCGUCGACGGGUAGCCUGCCUGAGAGGGUGUACGGACACACUGGGACUGAGCUACGGCCUUGACUGCGAGGGGCGGCAGCAGUGGGGAAUAUUGCAGUAUGAGCGUAAGCCUGCUGUAGCGUCGCCGUGUGGGUGUUGAAGGCCUUGGGGGUGUAAACGCCCUGCGACAGGAACUCGGCACCUUUAUCAGGAGGACCGGCUAACUACGUGCCAGCAGCCGCGGUAAUAC
rnacentral:rRNA from 1 species